UGGGGAAUAUUGGGCAAUGGGCGCAAGCCUGACCCAGCAACGCCGCGUGAGGGAAGAAGGUCUUCGGAUUGUAAACCUCUGUCCUUGGGGACGAAAAAAAUGACGGUACCCAAGGAGGAAGCUCCGGCUAACUACGUGCCAGCAGCCGCGGUAAUACGUAGGGAGCGAGCGUUGUCCGGAAUUACUGGGCGUAAAGGGUGCGUAGGCGGCUAGGCAAGUCAGAUGUGAAAUCCCCGGGCUUAACUCGGGUGGUGCAUUUGAAACUGCUUGGCUUGAGUGCAGGAGAGGAAGGCGGAAUUCCUAGUGUAGCGGUGAAAUGCGUAGAUAUUAGGAGGAACACCAGUGGCGAAGGCGGCUUUCUGGACUGUAACUGACGCUGAGGCACGAAAGCGUGGGGAGCAAACA
rnacentral:rRNA from 1 species